GAUAGCAAUAUUUAACAUGUUCAGCGGCGCAAGGGUGUGUAACACGUGGGUAAUAUUCCUAUGAGUUUGGAACAACUCCGAGAAAUCGGAGCUAAUACCAAAUAAUUUGAUGAACUGGCAUCAGUUUAUCAAUAAAGUUGGGGACCGUAAGGCCUGACGCUCUAAGAUUAGCCCGCGGCCUAUCAGCUAGUUGGUGAGGUAACGGCUCACCAAGGCGGUGACGGGUAGCUGGUCUGAGAGGACGACCAGCCACACUGGAACUGAGACACGGUCCAGACACCUACGGGUGGCAGCAGUCGAGAAUUUUUCUCAAUGGGGGAAACCCUGAAGGAGCGACGCCGCGUGGGGGAUGAAUGGCUUCGGCCCGUAAACCCCUGUCAUCUGCGAGCAAUAUCUGUCACCUAACAAGUAGCAGUUUGAUAGUAGCGGAAGAGGAAGGGACGGCUAACUCUGUGCCAGCAGCCGCGGUAAUACAGAGGUCCCAAGCGUUGUUCGGAUUUACUGGGCGUAAAGGGUGCGUAGGUGGCAUGCAAAGUCUGAUGUGAAAUCUUGAAGCUUAACUUCGAAACUGCAUUGGAAACUGGUGUGCUAGAGUAGUGUAGGGGAGACUGGAAUGCUCGGUGUAGCAGUGAAAUGCGUAGAUAUCGAGCGGAACACCAGUGGCGAAGGCGAGUCUCUGGACACUGACUGACACUGAGGCACGAAAGCCAAGGGAGCAAACGGGAUUAGAUACCCCGGUAGUCUUGGCUGUAAACGGUGCGCAUUUGCUGUGAGCAGAUU
rnacentral:rRNA from 1 species